UACGUAGGGGGCCAGCGUUGCUCGGAAUUACUGGGCGUAAAGGGUUCGUAGGUGGUGCGGCAAGUUGGAAGUGAAAUCUCUGGGCUUAACCCAGAGGCUGCUUUCAAAACUGCCGCGCUCGAGUGCGAGAGAGGUCAGUGGAAUUGCAGGUGUAGCGGUGAAAUGCGUAGAUAUCGUCAAGAACACCGAUAGCGAAGGCAGCUUACUAGACUGUAACUGACGCUGAGGCACGAAAGUGUGGGGAUCAAACAGG
rnacentral:rRNA from 1 species